UUGGAGGAGUUUGCUUUUUGGCUUAAAAGCCUGUUGCCGCUUUAUUAUUUGAGAACGCCAAGGGAAUCAUUUUCAAGCAAGAGAGCAGCGUUUUCAUGACAAGGGUUUUCUCUUCUCUCUUAAAGGAAGCCAGACCCUUCACUGUCACAUUCAAGGCUGCAGAUUGCUUUCGGACUUCUGGUUUCAAACAGUCUGGGAACAGCAUGGAUGACAUAUGGAUUCACGACGAAAGGUUUUGUUUAAUGGCAAGGAGCAUCAGCUGUCGUCGCCUUGUCCCUUGGCUGCUGCCAGGCAUCAUGUUAAAACAGUGGGGGCAGCAGGAUCUGCCCAGGCAGUCUUGGCUCUUCCAUUUCUUCAAAGAAUGUGGAUGCAGAGUCUUUCUCUUGCAAGCAUCGACUAGGAUUCAAGUUCGAAAUACCCAUUAUUAUUUCACCUGCCUUGAAAUGGAAAUUAUCUUUGUGCCGUUGUACAAAAGAUGCAAAAUAUUCUGGUUGAAAUGGAUGCUCCCUUGGCUCUCCUGACUCCCAUUUUCUUCCCUCCCUCCCUGGGGCCGAGAAGUCGCCACACUGCAUUUGGUGAGUUUCUUCCUUGUGUGGAUUAUAUUACUGCAUUUUCUCAUUCAGUCCUUCCAGCAGCUCUUUGAAAAGGAUAUUAUCGCCAUGUUACAGAUGAGGAAACUGAGACCCAAGGAGAUCAGUAUUUGCCCACAGUCACACAACAAGUAGGUAAAAGAGCGGAGUCUCAAACCCAGGUUGCUCUUGUUCAAAACUUGUGCCCUUUUUCCUGCAUCCCACACCUGGAGGAGCUGGUCUUUCUCAUGCCACCUGAAGACUGCGGGAUUUCUUCCAGCUGAAUUAUUGUAUCUCUGCGAACUUUGAUUCAGAAGCUUUACUUUCUGAUUCCUUAACCGAAUCAUUUUAGAUUUUUGCCCUUUUGUAAAGCCUAAACAUGAAUCCAACAAGAGAGGGAUGAAAUGGGAGAAUUGCACUAUCUUAUCAUAUGCAUUUGGGCAUCCUCUCUGUUUUUAAAUAUACCACUGAUUCAUGAUUACCUUCUUUUUUUUUUUUUUUCCAUGAUUACCUUCUUGAGGGUCAACAGUGUAUCCCAUAUGUCACUCGUCCCCUGCCAUUUGGGAAGCCAUCUGUAAAGUGUUUUUUAAAACCCCUCCAUGGAUACUUAUCAUUUGUUUUAUAGCUAUACCGCUCAAAAAAGGCUUCCAGAGAAAAGUGGGACAAAAACAAAGGAUAACUUAGAUUCAACAGUGGCUACUAUACGAACUGGAAAAAAAAAAAUGCGUUGCAAAGCAAUUUGAUGAUAUGUAACUGGAACCACAAAAUUAUCCAUAGUGUUUAAGAACUACAUUCUGAAAAUCUAUCCUAAAGAAGUAACCCAAAUAGUGGAAAAAACAACAUUCAAAACACUUCCUAAUUCUGUUAUUUAUUGAAGUCUGGAAGUGACAUAAUGGUCCAAGAAAUGUUGUUAGAUUACUAUAGAAGGACCCCUUGACUAAAUCAUGUAUUGUCAUUAAACUGAUAAUUUGAAAGAAAAGCAAGGCUCCCGUCCUCACUUUGCUAAUUAGUUGUGUUAAGUUUGCCAAGCUGAUUAAUCAUUCUGAUUUUCAAACUUUUCAUUUGCAACAUACAAAAUACUGAAAUCUACCUUAAAGAUGUGAGAAAAUUCACUGGUCUAGAAUAUGAAAUAACUUAUCCCACUUACUGAUACCGGAUAGUACUCAAUAAAUUUUAUCUAAUAGAAUGAUUAUCUAUUUUAAAAGUUUGGAUUUAUUACAAUUACUACAAAAUAAGUCAGUAAAAGAGACUGGAUUCAGGGCGUCUGGGUGGAUCAGUCAUUAAGUAUCUGCCUUCAGCUCAGGUCAUGAUCCCAGAGUCCUGGGUUUGAGCCCCACAUCAGGCUCCUUGCUCGGUAAGAAGCCUGCUUCUCCCUCUCCCGCUCCCACUGCUUGUGUUCCCUCUCUGUCUCUCUCUCUGUCAAAUAAAUAAUAAAAUCUUUAAAAAAAGAAAAGAGAGAGAUACUGGAUUCAAAUAUGUAAGAAGAUAAUCUAAUUUAUAUUACAUGCUUUUUAUUACAAUGAAAAAUUAGAAGUGUCUGAGUUGGGAUAAUGGUGUAGGAAAGGGAAUUUUUUUAUUCUACCCUCUUAGGUUUAGUCUUAAAGGCCUGCAAAUUAAAUAUAAACUUACAGGUUUAUAUUUAUAUCCAGGAAGGAACAACCUUCCUGGUUGUUCAACAAAGGGACAACCAAAACUUAUUUAUGUGUAUAUGGGAAUACACAAAAGAAGUGGCUUUCUGAACAGCAAAGAUGGGAGUUUCUCUAUGCCUAACUUAAUAUGAGAGAGGAGGAGAAAAAGAAAAGGCUUCUAUGGGAGGAACAAAUGGAUUUCUGGGAGAAAAAUAAGAAAAGUUUAUGAUAAUGUUUAUGCAAGUCAGACUGGUCUUAGCUUUUUUCUUCACGGCCAUAAAAAUCUCCUGGAGAGGGGAUUCUUGGCAGCCCUACUCCCAGAAAUUUCUGCAAAGGAAGGCUUUUUGCUGCAUCUAUUAAUUUUCAAAUGUCUUUGCUUUAAAAUAAUCUUUAUAUUAAUUCUGGGGAACGUAAGUGAGCCUGCACAUUGGCAUCAAAGCACUUUUCCCCCUAUAUAUUAAAUAAACUUGCUGUAAUAUUGUUAGGCAGAUUUUAUUAAUUUUUAAAAUAAAUAAUAUUUCUAGGCUUUUACUGUGUGAUCUGUAACAAAGGAACCUUUCCAAUACGGGAGAAAAAAGCAUAGUCUAUAUUCGGAGACCAUUGUAAUGGUAGAAAAACCCCGGAGUAGUAGCCCAAGGACCUCUGGUCAUAUCAUAGAACAGGGUUCACCUCCCAUGUUCCAUGAUCUAGUGCACUGGAACAUGCUGGUCCUCAGUUUCCUCACCUGGAAAGUAAGGAUAAUAAUAAUGUCUCAUUUGCAGAUUUCUUAAAAAGAACUUGAUAAGAUCUGUGUAGUUUGAAAGGUCAUUACAUUAAUAAAGAAUCAUUUGUAUUAGAUUAUAAUACUUUAAUGCAUAUGAUCUUAUAAAUAAGGUGACACUUUAUUCAUUUAAUGAAAAAAAGAAGAGAGGCGGUGAUUAAACCUGAAACUUAAAGUACAUAUAUGCCUUCACCUUCAGGGACUGUCAAGCUGGCAUUCACCCUUAGGCAUUCUGUGGCUCUAGCUUACGUCAGUGCUGGUGUUUUAAAGACAAAUGUGGUUUUUUAAAACUGGAGUUAAGUAAGGGCUGGAGACCUUACUGAAAUAAAACUGUAGCUACUUAAGAAUGACCUUGAGCACCAUGACCUUGCAAAAUUAGACUGCUAUUAGAGAACAUUGCUCUGGGUACUUUGGCCUUGUUAUUUUCAUAGCUCAAAUCAGAAAUGCCAUCCUCUUAAUCUGCCGGAGUCUCUGACGUAUUUAUGAAUAGAAACUAGCUGACUAUGGCUCAUUUUCGCUUGGGCAAUCAUCAGUUAGACAUGGAAUUUAUCUACUAAUUUAAGGAAUAUUUCUUGAUACAGCACCCUCCCCUACUAUUAUUAUAAAGAAUUUCC
ensembl:lincRNA